AUGCAUCUGGUGCUAUCUUCACAGUUUAUGGACCUUCCAGCAUGGUCAUCCAAUCUUCUGCUCCCAUUGAAACAGCCAAACAAACCUCAGCACCAGUUUUGGCCACGGUUUUUCUGGAAUGUCAUGGAACUGAAGUGUGCAAUGCCUCGAUCUACAAAGCUACUGAGAGCAAAGGCAGCAGGAAGGUUCCACUUGGAUGCAGUAACCUGGCAAGACAGGGCUCAAAUCUACCCCUCACCGGCUGAGUGUCUUUGGAGGUGCCAUCACUUCAUAAGGGUCUAAUCCCUGGGGAAAGAGUAAAACAUAAUAUGGGACAGCCCUGAAUCCGUACCAUCCCAUUGCCAGUUAUGUGACUCAGGUGAGCCAGCCUCUCUGUGCCUCAGUCUCCCUAACUGUCCAAUUUGGAAAUGGUCUGAUGAGCUGAUACAUGUGCAGCCGAUACAUGAGCAACACUAUUACCUGUGGCUUCUCAAACCCAAGUGUGUGUUUUUGUGGUUCUCUCUGGAUUUAUUGUGGUUCCCCACAUUGUAGAGCCACUUACCCAAAACAAAAGACAACAGAGCAAUUUCCCAACCUCCUUUCCUGCAAGGGCACAGGUGCAUAACUUAGGUGACACCAAGCAAUGCACCUGCAUGAGACUUUGAGUUGUUCUCAAGGAGGCAGGCUGGGUGGGACAUCUGCCAGGGGGCAUGAAGAGCAACCGAGGCCACUGAGCAACAGUUCCCUGACCAGGCCAGUUCCACAUGGCUCUGGGAAUGGCUCCCCAAGGAACAACCUAGAACUUAGAGCUCACACACAUCUUUAAAUUUUUUCCUGCCCUAACUACUGGCUAAUACUGAUUCUGUGGUCUGCAACUAAGCACCCACCAACCUCCGAAAAUUCACUACCACCUUAGGCAUCCAAAUGGGAGCAAUUAGUAAUAUGUUAAAUGAGACUAGAUGUACAAAGCACCUAACUUUGUGUCUGCUUCUCUCCAUGAAAGACUUCUGGCGUCCCUCAGAAAAGAGCCAGGCUCUUUCAUGAAGCACAUGCCCUUUUCUGAGCUUUGCAACAAAGCCUGAUGGAUCAAGCCCCAGAUGUGUGCAAAGCCUCGUGGUGCCCUGUAUCUCAUGUUGUUGGUGUCUGGGAGAUUUAGGCUCAAGCAGACCCUAAUGUUAGCCAGCCUAACCUUAUUGUCUCAUUAUAAGAUUUUCCUCCAUAGCUAAUGAAGACCCUCCAAGCACUAAGUUCUGAGUUAAAUAGUUUAGGGAGCAUUAAAAAAAAAAAAAAGGUAGACGAUCCA
rnacentral:lncRNA from 1 species